UACAGAGGGUGCUAGCGUUAAUCGGAUUUACUGGGCGUAAAGCGUGUGUAGGCGGUUCGUUAAGUCGGGUGUGAAAUCCCGGGGCUCAACCUCGGAACUGCCUUUGAUACUGACAAUCUCGAGUCCGAUAGAGGUGGGUGGAAUUCCUGGUGUAGCGGUGAAAUGCGCAGAUAUCAGGAGGAACACCGAUGGCGAAGGCAGGUCUCUGGGCUGUAACUGACGCUCAUACACGACAGCAUGGGGAGCGAACGAG
rnacentral:rRNA from 1 species